rnacentral:rRNA from 1 species
CAAUAGCGUAUAUUUAAGUUGUUGCAGUUAAAAAGCUCGUAGUUGGAUUUCGGUUAAGAGCGACCGGUCCGCCGUUUGGUGUGCACUGGUUGGUUUUAACUUCCUGUAGAGGACGUGCUCUAGGUUUAACGACCUGGACUCGGAGUCUACGUGGUUACUUUGAAAAAAUUAGAGUGUUCAAAGCGGGCUUACGCUUGAAUAUUUCAGCAUGGAAUAACACUAUAGGACUCCUGUCCUAUUUCGUUGGUCUCGGGACGGGAGUAAUGAUUAAGAGGAACAGUUGGGGGCAUUCGUAUUUCAUUGUCAGAGGUGAAAUUCUUGGAUUUAUGAAAGACGAACUUCUGCGAAAGCAUUUGCCAAGGAUGUUUUCAUUAA